AUUAUUAUUCGUUGCAUACCAAAUGUCGUGGUUUCCUUUGGUACAGUUGAAACACGAAUUAAAUGAUCAACGAAUUACAUAUUUUCUAUAGGAUGUGUAUGUAAAGUUAAGUCAAACCACGAAACCCAAUACCCUAAAAGAUACAAGUUUUCCUCAAUAUGAAAGUUGAUACCCACGAAAAUAAAUGAAUCCACAUUACCUUUGUAAAACAACCGAAACAGUUGAGGAGCAAUAUAUGUAUAAAUGACCAAACAGAACAAAACGAGAUUUUUUUUAAUACAUCUACUUCCAACUUUGUCUAAGACAGUUGAUUCAGAUUGACAUUUGAUGAGC
rnacentral:lncRNA from 1 species